CUUAUUUCUGGGAUUUUUUUUUCUGGGAAUUUUUUCCUUCUGGGAUUUUUUUUUUUUCCAGGAUUUUUUUUUCCCUUUUUUUUUCUCCCAUUUUUUUUCCUGUAAAUUCUUUUUCUGGGGAUUUUUCUUUUUCCAGGAAUUUUUUUUCCAGAUUUUUUUUCCCCUUUUUUUUUCCUUUUCCAGGCAUUUUUUUUUCCUGUGAAUUUUUAUUUCUGGGAUUUUUUUUCUGGGAAUUUUUCCAGGAAUUUUUUUUCCAGAUUUUUUUUCCCAUUUUUUCCCCAUUUUUUUUCCUUUUCCAGGAAUUUUUUUCCCAGGAAUUUUCCCCAUUUUUCCCCCAUUUCCUUUCCCCCCAAAUUUUUUAUUUUAUUUUUUUUUUUUUCCUUUUCCAGGUUUUUUCUUUUUCUGGGAAUUUUUUCUCCGGGAUUUUUUUUUUAUACACAAUUUUCCUCCACCCUCUUUCUUUUUCUUCCAAGAAUUCCACGUUUUUCCCGAGAAUUCCUCCUUUUUUCCUGGGAAUUUUGUGUUUUUUCCUGGGAAUUUCAGGGAAAUUCCACAUUUUUUCCCACCAAGAAUUCCACGUUUUUCCCGAGAAUUCCUCCUUUUUUCCUGGGAAUUUUGUGUUUUUUCCUGGGAAUUUCAGGGAAAUUCCACAUUUUUUCCCAAAAAUUCCACAUUUUUCCCAAAAAUUCCACAUUUUUCCCAAAAAUUCCACAUUUUCUCCCAAGAAUUCCAUGUUUUUCCUGGGAACUCUGUAUUUUUUCCUGGGAAUUCCAUGGUUUUUCCCAAGAAUUCCAUAUUUUUCCCAAAAAUUCUGCGUCUUUUCCUGAGAAAUCCGAGUUUUUCCUGGGAAUUCAAUGGUUUUCCAAAAAAAUUCUGCAUUUUUUCCCAAAAUUUCCACAUUUUUCCCAAAAAUUCCACAUUUUCUCCCAAAAACUCCACAUUUUUUCCCAAAAAAUUCCACAUUUUUCCCAAAAAUUCCACAUUUUUUCCCAAAAAUUCCACAUUUUCUCCCAAGAAUUCCACGUUUUUCCCGAGAAUUCCUCCUUUUUUCCUGGGAAUUCCAUGUUUUUUCCUGGGAAUUUCA
rnacentral:lncRNA from 1 species